rnacentral:tRNA from 1 species
UCGGAGGUCGUCUAAUGGUAGGACAACACACUCUGGAUGUGUUUAUCUUGGUUCGAGUCCAAGCCUCCGAG